UCCGUUAUGGUGUAGUGGCUAACAUUAUCGCCUCUCAUCUGUACUAAACAGAUUGGAUUACGAGCGCGAUAGCCCAGGGUUCGAUUCCCUGUAACGGAA